ensembl:lncRNA
CAGGGCUGGGGACAAGGCUGGGCGCCUGGGCUUUGCUGUGGUGGGUGCGGGGGGGACCCUCUCCCCUCGUCCCCCGCUGCGCAGCCCUUCCAGACAGCCCUGUGUCUGCUCCGCUGUUGAAACCUGGGGGUUUUUCCCACCCUGUCCCCAGGCAAGCGGAGCGGGUGCCAGCAUCCCGCAGCCUUUCCCAGCCCGGUCCCCCCCCCCCCGGCCGGGCAAUUCCAGCUCUCACUGGGGAGCAGGAACACCCACGUCCCCAGACAGGGCCUGCCGUGCACACCGCGGUGUGCAGAACCCGAGCCCAAAAUAGGACAGACGUCAUCUGCAGGCCUAGAAAUCCUGCCUGCGUGCGGGGCACGGAGGCUGCACCGCUGCGAUCACCGUCGAGCUCCCACGAUCUUCCCGGAGCUUUCCGGCACAGCUUGGCAUGGGUCGGCGUGGCUUGGCAUAGCUUGGCAUGGCUUGGUGCUUCCUCGUGGUCCCAGCAGCGUCCAGCGUGAGCCCCACAUUCAGCUCUUCUCUGGGGGCUGGUGGGCAGAAAGCAGAUAUUUAAUAAUGCAUGGAAUAAAACCAAUUCUUCUCAAUAAACCUGAUUUUUUUCAUCAACUUUUAUUUUGCUUGCUAAAAUGCAACUUAUUAGCAACCCAGUUUAAACACCCAGAAGCCGUGUCAGGCACCAAGCUCGUUAGAGCCCAUUAAAGCACUGAAGUGACGGUGCAUAAUGUCAAACCGUGCAAGCAGCUGCUGGAAUAACGAAGAAGCGGGGAGUGCUGGCGGCUGCCGCCCCCCAGCAAAUCCCAGUGUGGAAAAGGGCUCUGGGCAGCUGCAGCUUCCUCUGCACGUGGCAUGGUUUAAUAUUGUUUUCUUCACCAAAUAAUGAAGCAGAAAUGCCUGUUUUCCUCCUGGAGCUGUAAGUGCAUGUGAGAGACGGGGCGAAUUCCUCCGGUUCUGAAAUAUUGAUGGACCUGGAGGAGAGAAACAGGAGACGCAGCCUGCUAACAGCCUGCCUGCCGUCUUCGCGCUCCUUUAGCUGCCAGAUAUACGAGGGUUGAGCAAAAAGCAUUCCCGACCAGUGCACGAUAAUUUAAGCGACCAUUUCUUUUGCCUUUGCGGCGAGCCCUUCUCCCAGUGAAACCCCACACGCCGCUUGCCUUUCAUGUUGUCCCUUAAAUAUGCAAUUUUAUGUUUUCCUUCUCUUAAGCACCCAGUUACACGCAUUUUUAGCAUCUACCAAGAAGCUUUUCUCGCACAGGGCAGUGAUGUACUGUGUUGUGUAGUGGCUCUGGGGACGGUGGGGAGGGUCCUGGACCGCUGCCGGCGAGCAGCC